rnacentral:rRNA from 1 species
GGUCGAGCGGACAGAAGGGAGCUUGCUCCCGGAUGUUAGCGGCGGACGGGUGAGUAACACGUGGGUAACCUGCCUGUAAGACUGGGAUAACUCCGGGAAACCGGAGCUAAUACCGGAUAGUUCCUUGAACCGCAUGGUUCAAGGAUGAAAGACGGUUUCGGCUGUCACUUACAGAUGGACCCGCGGCGCAUUAGCUAGUUGGUGGGGUAAUGGCUCACCAAGGCGACGAUGCGUAGCCGACCUGAGAGGGUGAUCGGCCACACUGGGACUGAGACACGGCCCAGACUCCUACGGGAGGCAGCAGUAGGGAAUCUUCCGCAAUGGACGAAAGUCUGACGGAGCAACGCCGCGUGAGUGAUGAAGGUUUUCGGAUCGUAAAGCUCUGUUGUUAGGGAAGAACAAGUGCGAGAGUAACUGCUCGCACCUUGACGGUACCUAACCAGAAAGCCACGGCUAACUACGUGCCAGCAGCCGCGGUAAUACGUAGGUGGCAAGCGUUGUCCGGAAUUAUUGGGCGUAAAGGGCUCGCAGGCGGUUUCUUAAGUCUGAUGUGAAAGCCCCCGGCUCAACCGGGGAGGGUCAUUGGAAACUGGGAAACUUGAGUGCAGAAGAGGAGAGUGGAAUUCCACGUGUAGCGGUGAAAUGCGUAGAGAUGUGGAGGAACACCAGUGGCGAAGGCGACUCUCUGGUCUGUAACUGACGCUGAGGAGCGAAAGCGUGGGGAGCGAACAGGAUUAGAUACCCUGGUAGUCCACGCCGUAAACGAUGAGUGCUAAGUGUUAGGGGGUUUCCGCCCCUUAGUGCUGCAGCUAACGCAUUAAGCACUCCGCCUGGGGAGUACGGUCGCAAGACUGAAACUCAAAGGAAUUGACGGGGGCCCGCACAAGCGGUGGAGCAUGUGGUUUAAUUCGAAGCAACGCGAAGAACCUUACCAGGUCUUGACAUCCUCUGACAACCCUAGAGAUAGGGCUUUCCCUUCGGGGACAGAGUGACAGGUGGUGCAUGGUUGUCGUCAGCUCGUGUCGUGAGAUGUUGGGUUAAGUCCCGCACGAGCGCACCCUUGAUCUAGUUGCCAGCAUUUAGUGGGCACUCUAGGUGACUGCGGUGACACCGGAGGAGGUGGGGAUG